rnacentral:rRNA from 1 species
UACGGAGGGUACAAGCAUUAAUCGGAAUUACUGGGUGUAAAGGGCGCGUAGGCGGAACUGUAAGUCGAAUGUGAAAUUCCAAAGCUCAACUUUGGCACUGCAUUUGAUACUACAGAUCUUAUGAGGUAUGACGGAGAAAGCGGAAUUCCACGUGUAGCGGUGAAAUGCGUAGAUAUGUGGAAGAACACCGGUGGCGAAGGCGGCUUUCUAGUUUUAACCUGACGCUGAGGCGCGAAAGCAAGGGGAGCAAACAGG